rnacentral:rRNA from 1 species
GGCCAGACUCCUACGGGAGGCAGCAGUGGGGAAUAUUGCACAAUGGGGGGAACCCUGAUGCAGCGACGCCGCGUGGGUGAAGGAGCACCUCGGUGCGUAAAGCCCUAUCGGCAGGGAAGAAACAGACGGUACCUGACUAAGAAGCCCCGGCUAACUACGUGCCAGCAGCCGCGGUAAUACGUAGGGGGCAAGCGUUAUCCGGAUUCACUGGGUGUAAAGGGAGCGUAGACGGCGACGCAAGUCUGGAGUGAAAGCCCGGGGCCCAACCCCGGGACUGCUCUUGGAACUGCAUGGCUGGAGUACAGGAGGGGCAGGCGGAAUUCCUAGUGUAGCGGUGAAAUGCGUAGAUAUUAGGAGGAACACCGGUGGCGAAGGCGGCCUGCUGGACUGUGACUGACGUUGAGGCCCGAAGGCGUGGGGAGCAAACAGGAUUAGAUACCCUGGUA